GAGUGUUAGCAAGGACAUGUGCAUGUUCUUUCUAAUUCUGUCACUUUACAUUGUACAGGAGCAUAUCAUCCAUGGGCUUUACUCUGUAGCCAAAGCUAUACCGUUUUAUAAGACCCUCUUCCCUUCUGCUCUGAAAGGGAAGAUGAGGAAGGGAGCCCCAGGAGGCCAACUGCCUUUACCUUCAACACACAGCUGCUAGUGUCUAUGGGCCUUCAAGGAACUUAGGUUUUCAGGCUUUAUCUCCACCACUACCACCUCCUUCCCUAGAAGAGUCUGUCAUGUGAAGGAGCUGUUCAGUAGAGAAUGGGUGAAUGAAUGAAUGAAUGAAUGAAUGAAUGAUGAGAAUCAUGCUUUUUUUUCCUGUCUUCAUUUCAACCAGUAAAAGUUUGACUACCUUUACUGUCAUUUUUUUGGCUGUUUAUCUUUUCCUUAAAGAUACCAUGGGUAUCUUUGCCAGGAUUCUUGCUUAAAUGUACAUAUAUGUGCUGCCAUGCUUUCUUUCUAGUCUGUUGUCUAGUGAUUUUAUUUCCAAAAGAAGAACAUAACCUGUACCCUAGAGCUACUCUGUUUCCCAUCCUCACCCCAGCGUUUCUUCUUUUCCAGAAGUAAUCAGUGUUCUAAUUCACGUUUUACCUUUUUAAAAAAUUUUGAGACUCUGUCUUUCCCUUCCCUGUCUUCCCUCCAACUCCUCCCAUAUACCCACUCUUUCAAAUUCAUAGCCUCUUUUUUAUUGUUAUUAUACGUCUAUAUGCAUAACUAUAUACAUAUGUAGUCCUAAGUAGAACCUGUGUUUUUCAGGGCUGUGUGGCACUGGAUAACCAAUCAGUGUGCUCUUCCCUGGGAGGGCCCGCCUCUCCCUCAGCCAAUCAGUGUGCUCUUCCCUGGGAGGGCCUGCCUCUCCCUCAGCCAGCUCUCUUCACUUGCCUCUCUCUCAGCUCUCUUCACUUGCCUCUAGCUUUUAUGGAGGGUUGAAGCCUCACAGGUUUUUCCGCAUCCAGCUUGGCAUAUCUGUUGGUGUCAUCCUUGUUCAGCUCACAUUUGGGUGGACGUUAUGGCUGCAGCUAGACAAUCCUGGAAUUAUACCUUCAUAUUUAUAUAUUCUAUUGCUGAGGUAUAUACUUCAUUAACAAGUCACCUUAAUGAUAGGUACCUAAAUGUUUAUUCAAGGAUGACGUCAUGCUUGCCUUUUUAUACUUUCUAUGAGUCCAGAUUCUUGUUCUACCAGUUCUGAAAACGAAGACAUAGAUAGGUACCUGUCCCAGUAUUAUGACAUUUCCCUUGCUCCACAGCUCACAGAAAGCUCUUCUAUGUGUUUCUAUGACCCCCAUCUGAAAAGUAUUUUCCUUACCUGGAAAAAAAAAAAAGCUUACUCAUUUAUAGAACUGCAAUUCUAUAUGCUGUGAAUAGGUUUUCUCAUGUCCUGAUAUCAGUGUGUCUUAGGCAUCCUUCUCCACUCUUGUCACUCCACAGUCUUGUCUGAAGGUGCUAUGGGCCUUCGAGGUGCCCCCUACUCCAUGGUAAGCCAGAGUCCAAGCCUGUUUGUGUCUUGACUUUCCAGAUCCUCUGGUUAACUCAGCAGGUGUUACUGCCUCCUUGCGAUACCUUCAAGGCUAUUUUACAACUUU
rnacentral:lncRNA from 1 species